GGCGAACGGGUAGCGUAACACGUGGGAUAAUUCUACCUUCCUGACCGGUGAUCAACUGGCCGAAAAGGCUUGCUAAUACCGGAUAAGACCCCGGGGGCUUCCGGUUCCUGAGGGAACAAGGGUGGCCUCUGUAUUACAGCUAUCACAGGGAGAUUGAGUUCCCGUGGUCCCACUCAGCUUAUUGCGGUGGUUAAAAUCCCACCAAGGCAACGACGGGUAGCUGGUCUUGAGUAGGAUGAUCAGCCACACUGGAAUCUGUAGACACCGGUCCAGACUCCAUACGGGAGGCAGCAGUGGGGAAUCUUGCGCAAUGGGCGAAAGCCUGACGCAGCAACGCCGCGUGUGUGAUGAAGGUCUUCGGAUCGUAAAGCACUGUCGCGAGGGAAGAUACACUUCACCCUAACAAGGUGAGGAUAAGACGGUACCUCGAGAGGAAGCACCGGCUAACUCUGUGCCAGCAGCCGCGGUAAUACAGAGGGUGCGAGCGUUGUUCGGAAUUAUUGGGCGUAAAGAGUGUGUAGGUGGUGCUCUAAGUUUGGUGUGAAAUCUCCCGGUUAACUGGGAG
rnacentral:rRNA from 1 species